rnacentral:rRNA from 1 species
CGAGCAAUCUGCCCUUCACAUCGGAAUAACCAUUGGAAACGAUGGCUAAUACCGAAUAUGACUUCGGAUCGCAUGAUCUGAAGUGGAAAGCUCCGGCGAUGAAGGAUGAGCUCGCGGCCUAUCAGCUUGUUGGUGAGGUAAUGGCUCACCAAGGCGACGACGGGUAGCCGGCCUGAGAGGGUGACCGGCCACACUGGGACUGAGACACGGCAGA